GACGAAGGGGGCUAGCGUUGUUCGGAAUUACUGGGCGUAAAGCGCGUGUAGGCGGUUGUUCAAGUCAGGUGUGAAAGCCUUGAGCUCAACUCAAGAAAUGCACUUGAUACUGGAUGACUAGAGGACCGGAGAGGAUAGUGGAAUUCCCAGUGUAGUGGUGAAAUACGUAGAGAUUGGGAAGAACACCAGUGGCGAAGGCGGGUCUCUGGGCCGAUACUGACGCUGAGGAGCGAAAGCGUGGGGAGCGAACAGG
rnacentral:rRNA from 1 species